GGGGAUAUGGCGAAAUUGGUAGACGCUACGGACUUAAAAGAGGAAAAUCCGUCGACUUUUUAAAUCGUGAGGGUUCAAGUCCCUCUAUCCCCA
rnacentral:tRNA from 5 species